rnacentral:rRNA from 1 species
UACGAAGGGGGCUAGCGUUGUUCGGAAUUACUGGGCGUAAAGCGCGCGCAGGCGGCUAUCCAAGUCAGUGGUGAAAGCCCGGAGCUCAACUCCGGAACUGCCAUUGAAACUGUUUAGCUUGAGGAUGAGAGAGGUGAGUGGAAUUCCCAGUGUAGAGGUGAAAUUCGUAGAUAUUGGGAAGAACACCGGUGGCGAAGGCGGUUCUCUGGGCAUUACCUGACGCUGAGGAGCGAAAGCGUGGGGAGCAAACAGG